rnacentral:rRNA from 1 species
UACGUAGGUGGCAAGCGUUGUCCGGAAUUAUUGGGCGUAAAGCGCGCGCAGGCGGCCUUUUAAGUCUGAUGUGAAAGCCCACGGCUCAACCGUGGAAGGUCAUUGGAAACUGAAAGGCUUGAGUACAGAAGAGGAAAGCGGAAUUCCACGUGUAGCGGUGAAAUGCGUAGAGAUGUGGAGGAACACCAGCGGCGAAGGCGGCAUCCUGGACUGGUCCUGACACUCAUGAACGAAAGCGUGGGGAGCGAUCCGG